rnacentral:tRNA from 1 species
GCCGCGGUAGCUCAGCGUGGCUAGAGCGCUGCCCUGGUAAAUUUAAUCCGGGCAGGCAGAGGUCCCGGGUUCAAAUCCCGGCCGCGGCU